rnacentral:lncRNA from 1 species
GCUUAGCUGUUCUCAACCGAGUCCAUAACAAGUUUACAGUGAGGAAAGGUCAGAAAUCUUGCUUAUUGAACUAGACAUAUGAAUUUGUGAAAACUUUGACCAAGUCAAGCGGGAGAAAAUAUUAACUGUUGGUUUAAGAAGUGAUAUAUGUUUGGUCGCUUUUUACUUGGAGAGAAGUUGUGAAAUUAUAGAUUCUCCUGAUAUGACUUUGUGAAAACUUUGACCAAGUCAAGCGGGAGAAAAUAUUAACGGUUGGUUUAAGAAGUGAUAUAUGUUUGGGCCUUUUGAGUCAUCGCUUUUUACUUGGAGAGAAGUUGUGAAAUAAUAGAUUCUCCUGGUUUACUUAUUUCAGGCGGUAUCACGUGCAUAACUGUUAGCUUUUUGAUGAUAAAGGACUGAGUGAUUAAUGAAUGUCCACUUAACUUGAAUUAGGACUUUUAUUUUUAACUAAUCGUGAAAUGUGCCAGAUGCUGUUGUAGAAAAGGAUUGAGCAAAUAACAGAAAAGAAUUUGGAACACUGUAUCACCCUGCAUUUAGUGGACAUUACCGAAACCCGGGUUUAUUUCAAGCUUAAAUUUACACCGUUCUCUUGUUUUGAUGUAGAAUGGAAUAUGUAAAUGAGGCAAAAUUUUUAACAGAUAUCAUUAGGUUCAUACUGAAAUAAUGAAAUUCC